GACGAACGCUGGCGGCGUGCUUAACACAUGCAAGUCGAACGGAAAGGCCCUGCUUUUGUGGGGUGCUCGAGUGGCGAACGGGUGAGUAACACGUGAGUAACCUGCCCUUGACUUUGGGAUAACUUCAGGAAACUGGGGCUAAUACCGGAUAGGAGCUCCUGCUGCAUGGUGGGGGUUGGAAAGUUUCGGCGGUUGGGGAUGGACUCGCGGCUCAUCAGCUUGUUGGUGGGGUAGUGGCUUACCAAGGCUUUGACGGGUAGCCGGCCUGAGAGGGUGACCGGCCACAUUGGGACUGAGAUACGGCACAGACUCCUACGGGAGGCAGCAGUGGGGAAUAUUGCACAAUGGGCGGAAGCCUGAUGCAGCAACGCCGCGUGCGGGAUGACGGCCUUCGGGUUGUAAACCGCUUUCGCCUGUGACGAAGCGUGAGUGACGGUAAUGGGUAAAGAAGCACCGGCUAACUACGUG
rnacentral:rRNA from 1 species